CUGCCCUUAGAAAGGACGACAUGCGAGGACGAGGAGAGUGGCAAAAACGAGGAUAAGAUGGACUGGACGACAAGAAGUGAAAAACUGAGGGAAAGCGGUCCUCUCCAAGAGAAACACAAUAGCUUCAUCCAAAAUCGACUGCAAUACCCUGAAACAGGUUUCAUGAGAGGCAAGUCAAGAGAGCAGCGUUUGGCAUUGGCCGGCUGGAUGAGAACUCUGGUUUGCGAAACUGAGCUCUGCAGCCUUCGCGAGAGUGGAAGUGUGCAAAAAGUGGGGAGAGUGAGCGUCGGCUGGGCAGGUUGGCCUAGAAGAUUGGCGAACACUCCGUCGACUCGACCAGCGCAAACCUUGGUUGGGCUUAUCCGCUCCACAUUCAUAUCAUUUCCACACUUCCCUACCUCACCAAGCCCUAGUAGACUCCGGCCCCCCUCCUCUCCCUCCCGCACUCUCUCCAUCCUCAGCAUCCUCCUCCUGCUAACUCGCAAAAAUAUUCCGGCUUGAACUCUGCUGCAUAUACAUACAGACGUUCGUACGUUCGUCCACAUGUACAUGCGAUCUGCUCCUUCUUGGCUAGUGAUGCCACAUACACGUUCCCAUCCCUCCACCACUUAAUGGAACCACGUAUCACAAAGAGUUGCGAAUAUUAUACACGGCAGAGGUUCGUGCAUCAAUUUUUGCAAUGGUGGCCAAAGCACAAAACCUAACCAACGCUCAUAAUGAACAAGAGCUUCUCAUGCACUCUCGUCAUCAAUGCCAAUAACGUGUGGGCAAGGUGCCGUCGUGGUCGGAGUUGUAAUGAAAACCAAUGCGAUGAGGUUCACUUUCUCAAUCUGGUAUCAGCAGGGCUUAUUACAUUGCCCAUUUGUCGCAUUGUGUGUGUGUACAAAUACAUUUGUGUGCAUGUAUGUAUAGCUCAGCUUAUUUUUGCAAAGUCUCCCCAUCAUCACAUCAUGUUUUUUUCAGUAGUUGAAAACAGUCCACCACUAACGCUAACUCAUUAAUGCACGGAUUUUGUACUCUGCAUUUUGCAAACCUUCCUCACCCCGAGAAGAGAGGCAAGUUAAUAUUGUGGUGUGGACACUCUGCGGCUGUUUGGCAAAUUGCAAAUUAUACUUUGCAGAUUGGGCGAUUGCACUCGAGACUGAGAGAGAGGGAGCGAUGCACUCUCGGUUGUGCUGUCUGGCCAAUGUGUGUAUACAAACAGAGCAUAUAAUAUAUUACGAGUCUCGUUUGCCCUGUUAUGCAAUGCGUCGGAGAGAGGUACUUAUUUUACUGCCCUGUAUCCGCUUCCCCAAUCACUGCAGACUGAUCUUGAGUGCAACCAAGAUGCACUUCUGGCUGCAUCUUCUCGGUAUUAUUAUUCUCAACCAACCCAUUUAUGUAUGUACAUAUCCUCCGUGAGGCUGGAUCACACCGGCUUAACUCUGAUCUCCAAAAUGAUGGUCAGUAACAAUAACUGACUACGAGGACCACGGAUGUCCACGAUGAAAACCACGUAAAAAUAAAACAGUACUAGUGUCACGGCUCUUUAACAAUUUUGCAGCUAUCGGCCACGUAGGAUUUAACGUAGGAUUGCCUCCUCAACAUUUGCAAAAUCCGACCCCACUCAACUCUUUCCAGGAGAGAACUGACUGCUGUGUCUCGAGUCUCGUGGCUUUUUUUGCAAUUCUUGAGCCAAAACUGAGUCGACUCAAAAAUUGCCAAGUUGCCGGCUUCCACUGCUCGUCGAAUUUUUGGCGAAUUGUGCCUUUCAAGCCUUUUACUUGGUCUCUCUCUCUCUCUUGGUUGCUGCUGCUUUGAAAUUUGCAAGUCUAUCUGUCUGCCGCAAAGCAGAGUUCAGUCAUCAGUGUGGCUGUGAGCUCGUUGGCUGAAUGUUGGUUUGGUACUCUUUAGCAUGGAGUCAGGCGUAAGUAGUUGUAUUAUUAUUAUGGGGUCUUGUUCAACUCUUUCCUCCUGACAACAACGGUUAGUUAGACACUUGUGCAAAAUAUUCUGCACACAAAAUUUUGCAAACUCUAAUUCGCAACUUCAACUUGGUCAAGAGUGCUGUGGAGUAGUAGUAAUAGUUGGUUUGACUGACUGGCUGGUUGGUUGGAAAGGAAGCAGUUGGCUAGGAGUUGGCUGGACUAAAUACUCUUCAUGAACAAAGUCAAACGAUCCCAGGUUUGCAAAAACUGCAAUUGUGUGACAAUCCUUUUUGUGUGCAGUGUUUUUGUCUAACUGGGUUCUGGGCUUAAUUAAAUGUGUCACACUUAUUUCGUCGUGAUGCAUUAUUUGCCCAGUAAAAGCUCAUCUUCUCACUUAUUAAAGCUCCUCAAAUUAAAUCGCACUUUUGAACACAUUGGGACACUACUUAUUAUCAACUUUUGCACUCCCAAAUGCAUUCUGCCAUCAAGGAGAACUCUCUCACUCGUCAGAGCGAAUAACAUUAAUUACAUGCACUCUAUGCCUCAAAAAUCAAAAUAAACAUCCGAAUUGUAAUAUACAAAUUAUCAUCAUCUUGUGUUUAACUUUUUACAGUGCAGUUAAUUUAUCACUCAAACAGUUUAAUAUUAUAUUGUGCUAUGCAAUACUGUGAAAAUAAACUAUUUGGAACGAGAUUUUGAACAACCGGAGUCAUCGCUAUUCUUAAAAAUGACGAGAUUUCGCACAUCAAACCCACUUCAGAAUUUUCACUGUUUCUUCGUGCACGGACACACACCUCACUUUUCUCCAUUCAUAUGCGCUGGUAUUUAGAAGGCUCGCCGCAAUUUUUGCUCAUAGUAAUAAAUAGUUAGUUGAUUGGGUGAAGCAGAUCCUUACAUACGCCGUGUCAUUAUUAUUUUUUUUACAUGGUUGAAGAGAAAGCAUCAAAAAAUGAAAGAAUUGUGUAAUCAAUUGACGACUUAAUGAUGAUUUAAGUCCACAUUUUGAUCCAUGGGGGAUUUUAUUAAAUACAUAUCACUAAAUGCUAACCGGCAGUAAAUAUGUAUGUAGACUUUUAUGAGGUAGUCUUUAGUGACGAGCAUGGAGAAGUUGAACGAGGGAAUGUCUAGACUGUGAGAUUCGUUCUUUUUUAUUACCCUGCGUCCUUUUACCCUCUGUGCUCUGAAAGUGGUCGUGGUGGCACUUGGUGGAUUAUUUCGCUGUGACAAUUCAAAAAUGUGCUAACAAAACGCCUCUUACUCCUUGUUCCCCUCAUUUCAAGCCCGAAUCUCAACAGGUGAAUUAUUACUUCCAAACCCAGAGGCUAAACCUGGUCCAUACAUGUGUAGCAUACCCACCGGUAUUUUGUGCACUCUAGUCAUUGCAUAGCUAUUUAUAUUACAUGGUUCUAAUGGAUCACUAGGUAUCGUUACCUACGUGUACAUAAUUAGGUUAGGCUUCGCAAAAAUUUAUUAUAGAAUUUAUUCCCACACAAAAAUAACGGUCGGAACAAGAUCCCUUAAACAAAUUAGUGUCACUAUAUCGUGACAAAGAACAUGGAAAUAUUUCCACAAAUCAACAAAUUGAAAGUGAGAGAAGAGAAAGAAAUCCUCAACCUGGGAGAAAGUGACUCCAACAAAAAAAUCUCAUCAUCAGCCACUCGUCACAUUUUGUGUAGGAGUGAUGAAACUUUGGCUUAAUUUGGUAAAUGAAAUGUCAAGCCAAGCAACACCUUCGCCCGACACCUCUUUUCCCCUCCAACAACAACCAAAUAUAUCCGUACAAUUAGCACACAAGUGUACGAAUGAACAAGGGACGACAUGAUGUGAUGUGUCCAAAACUUCAUGAAUUCCUAAUGUGAACGUCGCCCGUCGCUUAAGCAAACUAAAUGAGAACUGACUAAUUUACGAACUUAAUCAUUGCGGUGGUCUCCGAUAGCACAAAUUGAGUUUCAGUUUCAGACGACAAUUGCAGUCAUGCGGUGGAAUUUAUCUUACUCGUUCAAACCCGUAAUUAACUAAUCACAGAGCUCCGAAAUAUCCAAUUUCUUAUUCUUUUAUUGACAUUGGUUCAUUUCGCAUGUGUGCAGCAUGGAAGAUUCAAGUGGCAAUAAGUGAUAAGUGGUUGAGUGAGUGUCUUGUGAGUGAUGCGGACAAGUGCAGAUUCAACAUUCUAAUCCUCCCCGUGAUGAUGAGUACAUCCUCAAAGGAGGAACUUGUUUGCUGCCGGAGAGAGAAAGACGAACCCUUCUUCUUGGAAACUGGAGUCAGCUCGUGCCCUCCGUCAUCACCAACGUUGAUUUUGAUAGUCUCCCUAUUUAUCUACCUACCACCACUGCUGCUGCAUAUCCUUAGCCAUACGAGCAUCUUGGGUGGAUUAGUGGGAAAUGAGAGCCCGCACAUUGAAUAGACGCCUCGGUGUGAGGUAGUAGGUUGUAUAGUUGAGAACAACAUCAUUUCCACCGGAGAAACUGUACAACUUGCUAACUUUCUCUGGGAGCGUUCUGUGAUCGUCGGUGGGCUCUUAUCUUGGCAACCUCAUGUCCAAUCUCAUCUCCUCCUCCUCUUCUUGAUCCGAAAAUGACGAUGCUGCCACCUCCCUCUCCUCCUUCUUCAUCCACCUCAACUAUUCUCCCACCACCACCACCACGACUGUCACUUCUCGACUCAAUGAUACAUAAUUUCGUCGCAAAUGAAAUAAAACAAAUUGUAUUUUGUAAUCAACAAGCA